ensembl:misc_RNA 7SK 7SK RNA
GCAAGAGGGCCAUCUGGCUGUGACAUCUGUCACCCCAUGGAUGGCUAAAGUAGAUUUGCCGAUUUGGAUGACUAGAAAUGUAUCUCUCAUUCCCAGCUCCAUUUAGGUCCCUCUCAAAACUGUGUGUUUGGUAAAGGUUGAUGGCCUUCCUGAUAGAGGAGUACCAGUCAUUGAUCAAGGAUGACUGGGACAUAUGCUUAGUUGCAUUUCCCUGCUGGAGCUUCCAAGGGAAGCACUCAAGGGAA